CCACAUGCCACUGGGUCCUCAGCAGUACCACCUGAUUGGAAGUGAUAUUGGUGGAAGACAACAUUUUGCCGCUUGGAAUUCUCACCUCCACACCAAAGAAGUACUGUUUUUGUCAUUUGCACCAGCUUCUUUCUCCAGGAAAGAUCAAAACGAUGCACUGCAAGGAAGCAAAAGAAUGAAUUAAAGAAAACUCCAGAGAAUGAGCUGACAACCUACUCCCUGGUCAGUGGCUCUCCAUGCCUACCUGUGGUCUCUUGGACACCCUUGCAGAAGAUGACUUCCUGGGAACUCUUCUGGGAGUGAAUGUUAUCAGCAAAUUCCCAAAACAACACCCCUUAGACAAAAAGCCUCCUCACCUAUGCAUUGCCUAGACCACCCACUAAAGGUGAUGGCCACAAAGAGGUGGAUUUGUUGAGUUGGUGCCAUUCCUUCUACUGCCAGCUUCACCAAAACAAUGACACAGUCUUCCUUCCGCAUGGAGACUCUUCUCUUUCCUGUGUUGCAGUGGAUGCCUCCUGCAGAUAAGAAAUGCUUAACUGAGAAAUGCUCAUGUUGGGAUAUCAUCGAUGAGACUUUAAUUUGGGCAUGGUGACUGUUUCCCUUGCUGCCACUUGACUCAAUCCCAGGAGCCUCAGUAGAGGAUAUAAUAUUACACAAGAUGCUCAAAAUGGUGGAAUUGCUCAGUGCUCCCAUAAAUAUACAUUUAUAAUUUUCAUUUGCCACAUGGUAAACUGAAAAAUACAGACUAUAUUAAAAAGAAACUGCAUGAUUUUUUUUCAAAAAUUCAAAGCAUAUUUAAAUAAUAUAUAAAUUAAAUGCCCUCCUCUCUUCCAAUUCUGUCCCUAUAGUUUUCCUCUAUUAAGUGAACUACAUGCAUUCUUUUAGUGGAUAGAUGCACACAAACACACAAGCCAUUAUGGGGAAGGAUCCACGUGUGUGGCCAUAUUGUAACACAUUUUUCUGCAAAUCACCUCUUUCAUUUAACAGCCCUUAUUCAAUGGCCUUUUUCUUUUUCAGUAGUACAUACACAUCUGUGUCAUUUGUUGAAUGACGACAUGAAUGUUUUGUAGAUAAAAUAUAAUUAAAUGUUUUAAGCAUUUCUCACUCAUAGAUAUUUAUGUUAGCACCAAAUUUCUGUGCAAUGAACCUCCCUAUAUAUCAGUAAUUUUGCAUUUGUCUAUAAUAUCAUAAUAAAUUACUUAUCAGUUGAAUUACUGGGAUUAAGUAUGUGCACACUUUAUAUUUAUAUUUUGAAAAUUAUUGCAAGAUUGCCUUCAAAAAUGUGGUUAACAACUUUAUCUUCAAAUGGCAAUGAAUGAGAUUGCCAGCUUUCCUACAGCCUCACAGACAAUGGAUUUUAUAAAUAUUUAACAUUUUUGCCAAUGUGAUCACCCAAACUAUUGUCUUAAAUUGUAUCUCUUUUGUUUUUGAGUUUGGUCAUUUUUUCAUGUUUAUUAGCCAUCUGUAUUUUUUAAUUUCUUCUUUAUGUCCAAUUUUGUGGGUGGGAGGAGGAUUUAGUCUCUUCCUGAUUUCGAAGAGCUCAUUUACUAUUUCGGGAAAUAAGAUUUGGAUUGUCAACCAUUAUAGCUAUUUUUUACACACUUUUCAACUUUGUUUUUGUUAUAAGAAUGUGUAUGAUUGUUACAUGUCCAAGUAUAACCAUGUUCGCUUUUAUGGCUUCUGAGUUUCAUGUCAUUUUUGGAAAGAUAUAUAUAUUGAGUCCAUAAAACCCUUCACCUAUGUUAAA
ensembl:lncRNA SNHG14 small nucleolar RNA host gene 14